GUUUUUGGGGAGUGAGAAGAGGGAGGGAGUCAAGAAACCUAACUGAUCUUCCAACAUUCAUGAAAUGUUAUGUAGAAUGGGAAGGAUAGAUUUUCCAUUCAGCUACACACUUUAUAAGAGUGGAUUUGUGUCCUGGAGCGAGCAGAGCUGCAUUUAAAAGUAUGCUAGCUUCCAGCUUGAGAUUCUCAGAGGAGCAGCAAAGCAAAGAACAGAACAUUGCCCUGAAUGUUUGGAGAGCUCAGAUGGGGGCUUAGCCAUCAAAUGUAACUGUCACCAGCACAGCCCCUUGCCUGUGAGUUUCUGAAACAUUUCUUACAUUUAUGCAUUUGUUUGAUCUGUUUAACAAUCCAGUGUGAUAAUUGGGGUAAGAAUAUUUGUUCCAGUUUUACUGAUGGAUAACAUGAGGCUUAAAGAGAUGAAGUAAAUGGCUAGAA